UCGCUUCUUAUGCGCAUUAUCGUUGCUACUAAAUAAUGCCGCUAGCACCUGAAAAACACCGUAGAAUAAAAAUAUAGCCAACAAUAAUGGAAUACCAAACAACACAGCCAUUGUAUCCACACUAUGACGCUGUAAGAAAUUCAAGUGACGUGCGGCCACACGCAAUUGUGGCGCACCCUUAUGUCUGAGUACAUACUCAGUCCAAUAGAUUGCUGUAUCGAGCGGAUUCAUAGGUCGAUCAUGGAAACUGGCAGAAAUCUCUCGCGCUCUUUCGGUGUACUUGGGAUUGUUCAACACCUCUAGAAUGGCAUCGCGCAGUUCAGUGCUGGUGAAAUUUCGGAAGUUUAUUCCAACACCAAAACCUUUAUAUACGGCCUUUUCAACAUUUAAAUAUUGAUCGUAAAAAAUGGGCAUUCCCACAACCGGUUUGCCAUGAUGCACCGCCUCUAUCUGACUAUGCAUACCACCAUGUGUAAUGAACAA